rnacentral:rRNA from 1 species
GAUGAACGCUAGCGGGAGGCUUAAUACAUGCAAGUCGAGGGGCAGCAGUUCGGCUGGCGACCGGCGAACGGGUGAGUAACGCGUACAGAUCUACCUUUUACUACGGGAUAGCCCUGGGAAACUGGGAUUAAUACCGUAUGUGAUCGUAGGAUUAAAGCUUCGGCGGUAAGAGAUGACUGUGCGUCUGAUUAGCUAGUUGGUGAGGUAAUGGCUCACCAAGGCGACGAUCAGUAGGGGGCGUGAGAGCGUGGCCCCCCACACGGGUACUGAGACACGGACCCGACUCCUACGGGAGGCAGCAGUAAGGAAUAUUGGACAAUGGGCGGAAGCCUGAUCCAGCCAUCCCGCGUGCAGGAUGACGGCCCUAUGGGUUGUAAACUGCUUUUAUAUAGGAAGAAACGACGGCAUUUAUGCUGUUUUGACGGUACUAUAAGAAUAAGCACCGGCUAACUCCG